rnacentral:rRNA from 1 species
GUAGUCCACGCCGUAAACGAUGAGUGCUAGGUGUUGGGGGGCUACGCCCCUCAGUGCCGAAGGUAACCCAUUAAGCACUCCGCCUGGGGAGUACGGCCGCAAGGCUGAAACUCAAAGGAAUUGACGGGGGCCCGCACAAGCGGUGGAGCAUGUGGUUUAAUUCGAAGCAACGCGAAGAACCUUACCAGGGCUUGACAUCCCGCUGACCCCUCCAGAGAUGGAGGUUUCCUUCGGGACAGCGGUGACAGGUGGUGCAUGGUUGUCGUCAGCUCGUGUCGUGAGAUGUUGGGUUCAGUCCCGCAACGAGCGCAACCCUUGUCGUUAGUUGCCAGCAUUUCGGAUGGGCACUCUAACGAGACAGCCGGUGAAAGCCGGA